CCUACGGGAGGCAGCAGUGGGGAAUCUUGCGCAAUGGGCGAAAGCCUGACGCAGCCAUGCCGCGUGAAUGAUGAAGGUCUUAGGAUUGUAAAAUUCUUUCAGUAGGGACGAUAAUGACGGUAUCUACAGAAGAAGCCCCGGCUAGCUUCGUGCCAGCAGCCGCGGUAAUACGAAGGGGGCUAGCGUUGCUCGGAAUUACUGGGCGUAAAGGGAGCGUAGGCGGGUUAUCAAGUUGGAGGUGAAAGCCCAGGGCUCAACCUUGGAAUUGCCUUCAAAACUGAUAGCCUAGAGUAUGAUAGAGGUAUGUGGAACUCCGAGUGUAGAGGUGAAAUUCGUAGAUAUUCAGAAGAACACCAGUGGCGAAGGCGACAUACUGGGUCAUGACUGACGCUGAGGCUCGAAAGCGUGGGGAGCAAACAGGAUUAGAUACCCUGGUAGUCCCACGCUAGUAACGAUAGAUUGUCUAGUUAGUCGGUACGGCGAUGCGUUCGGU
rnacentral:rRNA from 1 species